CGACGGGUUCCUCUCUCUCUCUCUCUCUCUCCCCCUCUCUCUGUCUCCCUCUUACAGCCGUCCAGUGUUCAUGCUCUGCUCAGUUAGUUAGGGAUACACACUCAGCCACUGGAGUGCAAGAAAAGGUAUGUUAGGUUACACAUCAUGUAGAGCAAGCAGGGGAAGCCACUUCAACAGGGGUGCCUUUUUUCCUUUUUUAUUUCAGUAUAAAAUAUUUAAAAGCCAAGACAUCAGAAAAACAUGUUUUACAUUGCUGAGCAGUAUAAAAGUUUGAUAGAGGGGAUGAGCCUUUAAUAAGGGUUGAUAGUCUUGGCAGGAGAGAUAAGACUAAAAUCUUUUUUUGUAAGCUUUGCAGAAUAAAGACAAAGGAGGAUGGAAAUGUACACAUGAAACUGCUGUGUUACCCUCCCACCCCCAUCUGCCCAUCAACUGACUCCAAUCUUCAACUUGACAUCAUCCUUCCACACUGACAAGAAGAAGAAGAAGAAGAAGAAGAGGAGGAGGAGAGAGAAGCAGAGGUGGGGAGGCAAACAAAACAGACAGAGAAGGAGGAGGACGAGUCGAGAGGAGGUGGGCAGCACAGUUUCAGCUUUCAAAAAGGCUGAGGAGGAAAAAGUGAAGGCAGCUAGAACUUGGCCACUAGUGAGAUGAAAUUCGGGGAGGAGACGCUGGAGCGCUGCAGGGUACGACAUCCAACGAGAGCCCUAAAAUUGGACCGCCUGGAAGACGAGCCAUCCCUCUCUGGAUCCUGUGCCUCUCCACAGCCAAAGGAUGAGAGGGGUCGACUUUCACCUUAGUUGCCAGGGAUGUCUGUGCACUAAGGAAAGGUGUCCCCCUUCAGCAUGUCCAAUGCUGUGUUAUUCCUGAUGCUUUGCAAGAUUGGUCUGAGACGAAAACUGCAGACUUUUCCAGGGAAAAUGGUAAACACUCUCCACAGUGAUGAGGAAAAGGGAAUCCAAGACAAGGAAAGUAAGGAGGAGAGCAUCUUGGCCAUGUUGGGCAUCAUUGGGACCAUUCUCAACUUGGUAGUCAUCAUCUUUGUCUACAUCUACACCACCUUGUAGGUCUCGAACUCUCGUUGCACUUCACCAGCGGCCAGAUCAGAGCCAUUGCAGCUACAGUGUGUCGACUGAUUUGGAAAUGAAGAUGGGAGGGGUGAGGAAGAGGCUGAACUUCCCCGGUGGUGAACUGGAUCUAAGACUAUGUGAUCGCCAUAUGGCAUCCAUCCUGCAUCACUUCAAACAACUAAGAUUAAGGGAAACUGGCUUGUUCCUCUCCCCUUUACAGGUAGAAUUAUCCAGAAUACCUGGUCACUUUUGACUUGUACAUAAAUGCAUGAAGCUAACGAGAGAUGUUCAAAGGAGGCAGCUUUUACCAACACAGGGAAAUGAAAGACUGCAGAGAGCGUGGAAACUUUUGGAAAUAAUUUUUCAGAUCUUAUUAACUGAACUAUGGAAAUGAUCUGAUUUGCUGACAUGGGAUAAAAGAUGAAGAUGUACAGAAACACAGGUAUCUGCAUUGAUGUUUAUUAUUUUUUCUCAGAUUCUCUCAGUAAAACACAACGUACAUCCAUUUAUAUAAGAUUUAAACAGACAUAUUAAAGAAUUUAUACUGUAUUUCUCACUGUUUUCUGUAAAAACUGACUUUGAAUGGUGUUUUAUUUCCUUGGAGACUAUAUCGACUGAAGGUAGGUUACAUUCACACAAUUCUAAGCUGUUAAAUGUGCAUUUACUGAAACAAAUGGUUUUAAAUGGCAUUAAGUCAGUUUGAAGUGCUGAAAUGCUAUCCGUAAAUGUGUGCACUUGACAUAAAAUGGCUGAAGAUCAGAUAGAUUAGUACAAGAUGGCUUGAUUAUCAUUUAUUAUUCAAGAUUUUGAUGCAUCACUUCAGGGUCAUCAACACUGAAAUAAGAUGCAUCCAUUUGUGAGAAAAUGAUUUUAGCUUUUUCAGCUCUGGAGACUGAGGAGAUGUUUUACUUAUUGGCUUCGGCCAGAUGCAGCAACUUAGGCUGACAUUGAGUUCUACUAUACAUUUCAGCCUGCAGGAGUAUACCGACAUGCACAUUUACAAACAGAUACAUGCGCCAUGAUCACACUGUAACUUGUCCACCCGUAGGUGUACAUAGAAUAACUGAGCUUGAGAGCUUAGGAUAGACUGAAUUUUUCAGAAUUGAUCUGAGUUUAUACAUAAUUGAUUCAAAACUGAAUCAAUUGUGCAUAAUGACUGUAUGCCUUAAAACAUGAGGAAAUGGCUAUUUCCAUGAUGUAUAAAAUUAUCAGGUUAUUACCACUUUGUGAAAGGUUUCACUUAUUGUAUAUACUUGUAAUCUAAUGCCAAUGUCAUAUUGUUUUUCUUUAUGAAAGGCCAUUUAUUGGGUAAUUUUAUAUAAGAACCCUGCUUUUGUCUUAAACAACAUGCAAAAGUUUUAUGUUCUUAAAUUGUGACUUAAAAUGUGGAAUUUGAGUUAUUUCCAGACCUGGGCCAACUCAGUUUUUAUCCUUUUCUGUAGUGAAAGACAGGUGUGGGUUUUCCCACACUGGACAAUACUGUGAAUCUUGUGAAAUUUACAUGAUCACAGGAAUUUAGUAACUUUUGGUAGUUUUUUCUUUGAUUGACUGAACUUACACUGUGUCAUUUGUCCUACAAAUCUUACACUGGUUCAUAGGAUACAUUUUAUUUGACCCAGAACUGGAAAUAAGGCAACAUUUUUGUACUUGAUGGCAAAACAUGAGUAGAAAGUGUGUCAAAAAUACUUUCUGUAUUUAUAGGUUGAUCAGAAUCUGGGCCAGUAUGUUUCAGCUUGUACAAAUUGAAUCAGUUUGAGUCAUGUGACAUAAACUGAAAUUAACAUUCUGUUUUUCAUUAAUUUGUGUACAAGAGGCCUGCAAAAUUAUUUACCUGUAACAAUUUUCUCAUUUACCUUUGAGUUACAGAUUAAUUUAAUUAAAUUGCAUUUAAAGGAAUAGUUCAACAUUUUGGGAAAUACGAUAGGAGUCUCUACUGCUUGUCCGGCACAUAACCCCUUGUAAAAGCAUAACCUGUCAAUUUUAGUGGGCUUUAGAGGCGCUGGUAGGUACAUUUUGUACAAAUGCUAUUCCCCUGUUUCCAGUCUUUAUACUAAGCUAAUCGUCACCUCGCUGCAGCUUCAUAUUUAACGAACAGAUAUUGUAGUGAUAUUGAUCUUCUCAUCUAACUCUUAGCAAGAAAGCAAAUAAGCAUAUUUUUACAAAAUGUCAAACUAUUCCUUUAAAAAAAAGAAGCUAUAAGGGAUGAGAAAAGGCCUAACGAUGUACAGUAUGUAGAGAAUGUAAGGCUAUAGACAACAGGCUACAUUAUGUGUAAACUAUUACGUUUGUGUUCGUCAGUCAACAACCUCAUUAUUUCAGAAAGUGCCUGAGAUCAAAGUGUCUCAACCUCACCAGUAGAGAGGUGAAGGAAAGGAAAACAUAAACCGGUGAGAGUAUCUUUAUAAGGCCACCUGUCAAACAUCCAGGAGAGUGGAAGAAGCUUGCAGGAAAACGCAAAUGCAUCCUGAUCCACUCCUCUGCAUUCAUAAUGGGACUGGAUUUCUACUACAUGGCUUAGUUAAUAAAGUCAGCCAUUUUUUGUCUUGGGUUAGGUGCUCCUGCUUGUUGGACAGAAUAAGGAAAAUGAAAGCCUAGUAAGCACAUGGACAGGUCUCACGAAUGUAUUCAUAUUUGAUGUGAAAGUUUGAUGUUAUUCUUAUUGUUUACUUAUCUUUCCUAAAGCUAUGUAAUCUAAACUUAUUCUUAUGUUUUAUUUAUGUGUGUGCUAAAUCUAUUUAAACUCAUUGAAUAAUCUCUUGUGGGUGACAAGUGGAAGGGUUAAAAGUUUUUUCAGCCUGCAGUUUGAUUAAAAAACAUUAAAUAAAUACAUCUUGAAACUGA